rnacentral:tRNA from 1 species
UCCUCGGUAGCUCAAGUGGUAGAGCAACUGUCUGAUAAACAGCAAGUCGUGUGUUCGAUCCGCAGCCGAGGAG